GUGAAACCAAAUCAGUUGUUUUGUACUUCUCCCCCUCAAACUGCAACUUCUUUCUGUGCUGUCAUGGCCACCGUUUCACCAGGUGGAGCUGCUGUUGUCCCGAUCAAACUCCAUACCCACAAACCAAGACUCUCCUCCCCAUUUCUUGGCAAGAAACUUAACCCCAAGCCUUCUCCCAGGACCAUACUCUCAACCCACAGAACACUUUCAGUUCUUGCAUCAGGAGGGGAAUUCUUCGAUGCCG
rnacentral:misc_RNA from 1 species